CCCAGGGGAGCUCAGGUGCAUGGAACGAACCUGUGUCUGUAAGGGGUGGGGCCAGGAUCCAGCCCUUCCCAGACCUCAUUUAAGGGCUGGCAGUAGAGAUGAGGGUGUCUUGCUGGAGAUCCCUGCUUACCCAAGGCCUUCCAUAGCUUUUAAGACCUCGGCCUGCUUUACGGUGAUUUAAAGGGCAUCUGUGAUUUUACCCACCAAGUGUCUUCUGCUGUGUGAAGCGAAUGCUGCAUGGAGUUUACAAGUGCUUCUCUAUGACAUCUGGAUCUCGGAGCUCACAGGGAAAACCACCCUCACCCACCCUGCAGGAGGAGCACAAUGGCACAAUGGCACCCUCUGUUGCCCUGCGCGCUGCUCCCACGUGGAUGUAUGAACUCCUGAAAGUAUCCAUUCCCCAUCUCCAAAUCUCAUCUCUUCCCGCCGAGCUUCCUUGUUUGUUUGGAGUUAUCCUGUUAUUUCCAUUUGUAAUAAAACCCGUCUUGUUCUUUUUGUGCUGAGUGGAGAAACAUCGAGAGGAUUGUCACGCUCAUUUCAUGAACAGUUGGCCUCCUGUCCCCAUUUUGUCCUCCCUAAGUGGCAGCUCCUUGCAACAGUUGUAUUAACAACUGAGCUCAGCCCUGCAAAGUGGUGGGCAUUUCCAGCGUUAACUGGAAAGCAAUUAGUCUUGAUGAGAUUGGGCUGUCCAACUCUCAGACAAUUAAUUAAAUUACAGCUUGUCUUUCAUUUGGUUAAACAAAAACUUGAUUCAUUAAUUAAAAUACACUGUGAAUCUGAUUUUUUGCUCUGAUCCUCUGUGUGUUCGUAAGCAAACAACAAGUUCCUUUUAGGAACCAAAACAAAAUUCCUUCUGGAGCAUGACAAGUUUUCACUCCUAAUCACCUUGUAUCCAUGUGAACACACUUUAAUUGCUCAUUAACACAAAGUUAGCGGGCUGACACACAACUAGCUGCUUCUUUUGGACUUCUCUAACAGUAACUUUUUUGUGUGUGUCUCGUAAGGAGACCAGACGUUUCUCAGAAUCAAUCAACUUUUUCUGUGUUUUACUUCCAUGCCAUGCUGUAAAGGAUUGUACAGUUGCCUUGCUGUAAUGUUAUUAUUCAGGACUGAUUUUACUGUGAUGGCAUAAGAGGAAUUAGACAUGUCCAUUCUAUUGUUGUUGAUAUGACUGUGCCUAUUUUCCCCAUAUGCAGUCUGAAACAAUUAUCAGAAGCAGUACAUAGAACUCAUCACUUAGAAAUGAUUACUUAGAAGUCAUUAGAUGUUGUUAAUGUGAACAGAUUUUUGUAAAAGCCACGUUUUGUGCAGGACUGGUUAUUUUUAGAUAAAAAUAUUUAAACUGAAGAAGAGAUUUCAAUUUUUCAAAUUGUGAUGUACAGGAACUCAGUGAGAAUUAAAAAUCUGACAUAAGAUCCAGUAUAAAAAAAGUAUUUCAGUGCAUCUAUUUGACAAGCACAAAUGGUCUGUAAGUAUGUUGAAUUAUAACAAAAAAUGAGUUGGAAAUAUUUGGGAUACUCUGUCUGUUCAGUUUUAAGCAGCCUUACCUACUGUGCCAAUGACUUACAGUCAGGUUUGGAUUCUGUGUGCUCAUCAUCAGCUUUCAGGAUCCAUGCUACAUUUGCCUCCUUUGAUUCUGCAAAGAUUUUGUCAAGAAAUUGAACUGAAUUUUAUCCCAGGCCUCACAAAUACAACCAUGUUUGACAGUUGUGGGAAAGAAGGGGGUUCGAGCUGCAUCUAUUGUUUGUUCAGAAAUAUCUAAUUUCAUAAGUCAAAUUACUCGUAAUGAUUCCAUACUAAUUUGUUAUUUGAAUCCUUUGCAGGCCUACUUUCUCCCAGAUGAUGGGAGACAAGAGGAAUUGCCUAAGCUUUUGAUACUGUGUAGAUCUCUGCUGAAACACAUUCUGAUUGCUACUGAUCUAGACAUAUUUUUUUUCUUAUAAGCUUAAGCCCGCAAGCUUCAGAAUUUAGCAUAAAAGACCAGCUGUCACCUGAUUUUGUUGUUCUUUUUUUUAGAGAAACAAUUCAAUUUUAGGGGAAAAAAAGGCAACUCAAUGUUAAAAUGCCAAAGAAAAGCUUCUCUGAAAUGUAAACAAAACCAAAAUGACCAUACCUUAAAACAGCACAUUUCAACAGGAGUUGAAGUGUUCCUCCCUUCUGUUUUCUCAAACCGAAGUGCUGACAAAAUCAGUAUGUUUUCUGAAGUGUUUCAUUUUGAUCAGAUUUGCAUGUUUUGGUGAAAUAUGGAUCCAGUGAAGCGAUCCUGGCUGGCUGAAUGUGUUGUUUCUUUUGGUUUAUGGCAUCUGCGAGCCUAUCAAAACUGUCCCAGUCUUCCAUGAAUGGAGAAAUGAUUCCAGUUAAGUCAAAAAGAAAGAAAGAGAGAAAGAAAGAAAGAGAGAAAGAAAGAAAGAAAGAGAGAAAGAAAGAAAGAAAGAAAGAAAGAAAGAAAGAAAGAAAGAAAGAAAGAAAGAAAGAAAGAAAGAAAGAAAGAAAGAAAGAAAGAAAGAAAGAAAGAAAGAAAGAAAGAGAAAAAGGAAAAGGAAAAGAAAAAGAAAAAGAAAAAGAAAAAGAAAAAGAAAAAGAAAAAGAAAAAGAAAAAGAAAAAGAAAAAGAAAAGAAAAAGAAAAAGAAAAGAAAGAAAAAGAAAAACCAACCCUGAAGUGUUGUCACUCUUAUCCAGAAAACCAGGCCCAAGUGAACAUUCAGAAAAAGGAUAGAAAUAGAUGGAAGAGAUGUCAUUCCUUGUGAAGAAGGGGGGAAGUUUAGGUUAGAUGUUAGGAAGAAAUUCUUUUCUCAGAGGUUGGUGAGGCACUGGUACAGGCUGCCUGGUGAGUUGUAGAUGCCCCAUCCCUGGAAGUGCUGGAGGCCAGGUUGGAUGGGGCCAUGUGCAGCCUGAUCUGGUGUGGAGCAACCCAGCCCACAGCAAACGGCUAGGAGAGGAUGAACUUCAAGGUCCCUGCCAACCUAAGACAUUAUGUCAUUCUAUGAUUCUUUGAUUCUGUGCAGUCACCUGUCUUUGCAUGAUGGAGAAUACCAAUCCUCAGCCAAAGACAUCCUCAUUCCUUUUAUAUUUCCCUCACAUUUCCCUGUACACAUUUGCUACUGACUUGAUGUGGCAAAAAUGCCCAUUUGCACAAGCUGUGAGUCUUCUAGGGACUCCAUUGCCUGGCUUAUCACUUUAACAUCUGAUCUCAACUCUACUUUAAAAUUCAGAGCUGAAACAAAGGAUGCCAAACUAAACCAUGCACGUGUCCAUCUCCAGCUGAGAAGGGGACACGAAGAAAAGAAAUCUGUUGUCACCUCUGGAGAUGUGGUCCAUUUCCAAGCAAAAUCUGGGUACAAUGCAGCAGAAAGUCACCACGUGCCACGGAGUUGUUUCAGCCCUUAAAAAAAAAACAGAUUUGUUGAGGGUGACUCCUGUUUCCCCACUAGUACAUAAACAUUGUGUUUAGCUACACCAAUUCCCCAGGAGCGAUGAGCGUGCUGGCAGGUCAGGGGACCUGCUGUUGGGUUAUAUCAUUGUUAUGAGAGUCACACUGCUAAGAAGCUUUGAGUUGUACCCCAUGCUGAGAAUAAUCCAAAUAAUCUGCAACUCAAAGCAUCCCUCAUCAGGGAUCACUGUGAACACAGGCAAUUUCAGCUGACCCGAUGAGCUAAACAUAAACAUGUCAAGAUCUCAAUAGUACCAGAACAUUUGUUUUAAAUAUCCUGUGUGAAAUUGGUGCCAAUGGACAACAUCAAUCGUUUGCCAGAUGUUCUUUUCUCUAAUUUUACUGCAGAGCACAUACAAGUAUGUGCUGGAAUUAACAUGAUGACUGGGGAGAACACAGUAGCCAACCCUUGGUUUAUUGCAGCAGUGCAAAAGACAGUAAUUUCCAGGAAGAGAGAUUACUCCUGGUUCAAAAGACUGUGAGAUAUGCAUGCAGCCUCUCAAGGGAUAUAUAUAUCUCAUGCAAACAAAUAACAUGAUCUAUGAGCCCUUUAAGGUUAAGUUUUGACAGUGGUAGAACAGGUGAGAGCUUGGACUGUAUAGCUCUCUUCUCAUGAGCUGGAUGUUGUUAUCCAGAGAAGAAAGCAAAGUGCACAUCACUAGUAUUGAGGCUAACCACAACCACAAGCUCAGAGCAAUCUACAAUCUACAGCAGAAACCCAGAGUGGUAAAACUGCAACUGGAAUGAGGCAUAGAGAUGAGUCAAGUACGAGGGUUGCUCCAAAAGUAAUGCCUCCUGUUUUAUUCCGUUGGCCCAUUAUGUCAGUAGCAGAUGAUGGCAGUAGGGACUGAACCUUCCCACCAAUAUUCUGUUACAUUUUGUUGCUGUGUGACAGAUGGCAGCAGAGGGGCAGUCUGACAAAAUGGUGUCUGACAUGGAAGUGUGUAUGAAACAAAGGUGAAAGAUAAGGAAAGCUGGGACCACAGAAAUUUAUCUGGUAAUUGCUGAGAUCUGUGUCCACGGCAAAUGUAUUCUGCACAGAAAGAGAGCGGAUGCACUGUUCCACAUCUACCAAAGUAUCAAAUGACGUUUUUCAGGGCAUUGCUGCUGUAACAUAUUGUGUAAAGAAACUAGAUCAGAAAUACUGAAACACAUAUAAAAAAAGAUAACGUGUCUUUCCAUCCACAUUGUCAAUAGAUUCAGAGCAGGAACAGUGCCAGAUUAAAGCAAAGCAAAUAUUUGCAGUAUAAUAUUUUAUUCAUCAGAAAUUCUUCAAGUUUUUGAUGGAUAUUUUUGGCUGAUACAGAAAUUCUUUAACUACAAAGUUUUAUUUGAGUGUUUUCAGAAACGCUGCUGAAUAUGAGUCUCUUAAGACUGAAACCUUCUUAAAAAAAAAACAACAAAAGCAAACAAACAAAAAAACCCACAUAGAUAGAAACAGAGCAUUCAUUUUUCUAUACAUUUCCAUAAGUCUUUGGAGGUUUUUAGUGUGCAGUGGAUAAACUGAUGGAUUUAAAUGACACAGAUAUCCUCAGCGCAAAAUCUCAGAUCCUGGAGCUUUUAUUUACCAAAGGAAGCCAAACUCAAAACAUAUUUUGUUUACCUUUGGCCAUAUUUUCUUCAAGAUAUUACUUCAAAUGCAAGAGGGCAUGCCAUCUUAGGAAUAAUGUCUCUCUUUAUACAUCUUUAACAGAUUUCCUUCCUUCCUUCCUUCCUUCCUUCCUUCCUUCCUUCCUUCCUUCCUUCCUUCCUUCCUUCCUUCCUUCCUUCCUUCCUUCCUUCCUUCCUUCCUUCCUUCCUUCCUUCCUUCCUUCCCUCCUUCCUUCCCUCCUUCCCUCCUUCCCUCCUUCCCUCCUUCCUUCCCUCCUUCCUUCCCUCCUUCCUUCCCUCCUUCCUACCUUUUCCUUUUUCCUUUUUCCUUUUUCCUUUUUCCUUUCUUUUUUUCCUAGGGUUUGCCCUCUUUCUUGCUCAAAGAGUAGGUGUUGAGCUGAUAAAUGGAAGAACUCUUCUGGAUACAGUCCAUCCCGGAAACCCUCAUACUAUUAAAAACUGUAAUUACAAUUUGGAAGGGAAUCCAAACUUUUCUAGGAAUGCUUAAGCCUUUCAGGACUGCUAAAUUCUUCAAACUGAACAGGGUCUGUGCAGUUUGCUUACUUGGGGAUAUGCAUGUUCACUUCACCAAAGGAAACACAAACUAGAAUUCAGUAGGGCUCAUUAGAAAAUCCCACACACUGAGCUAUCUUUAUAAACGCUUAAAGAAAUAAUUUGUAGGUACCCCAGAAGAUGGAAAGAGGAAUGCACUGAUUUUUCCAUAGAUGGUUAAGCAAAAAAUGCUUCUCUGCAAUUUUGAUUACUUUGACAUGAUGUAAAUUAAUACUAGCUUCUACAGAGUUGGUUUCUCUGGCAGGGACUGUCAAUAAAGUAACUAAGAUUAAGGGUCUUGCUAUGGAUUUUAGAAGCACUUUAAAACAACAAGCAUAAAUGCUUCACUAAUAUUUAAGAUGGGAUUCACUGAUGUGGCCAUCCUAUUUAAUACCCAUAACCUAUAACCAUCUAGUUAAAAAUAGACCCAUAGUAAGCUUGCUAGCUGCAGAGGAUCCUAUACAAUCCCUUAAAGAGCCCUAACUUGAAAGCAUAAUCAAAACAAGCUAGCUUCUGUUCAUUCAUGAUGUUAUUUCACACUGAAGCUGGUCAGCUAUCUAAAUAAUCCAUGUUCAGCCUUUCUUUUGGCCUUAAUGGAGUACAACACGAAAGUCAACGCUUGGUGCUGUAUCUUUCUAUGGCUCCUUUAAGGUCAUAGAACCAUAGCAUAGCUUAGGUUGGAAGGGACCUCAAAGAUUAUCCAGUUCCAACCCCCUGCCAUGGGCUGGCUGCCCCUCACCAGCUCAGGUUGCCCAUGGCUCCAUCCAGCCCAGCCUUGAGCACCUCCAGGUAUGGGGCACCCACAGCUCUCUGGGCAGCCUGUGCCACUCAUAUCUGUUUGCUCUUCUAAACUACAGCUUUUACUCUUGGUUGCCAGUCACAGAGGUGAAAACAAUGCAGUUUUCUGAAAAGUCCUAUGGAAAGUAGACCUAUAGCAGAGCAGCUACAGCUUGCUGCACAAAUGCAGUAUCUAUUAUUAUCUUUUAAAAUAUCCCAUUUAAAAUAAUUUAACUUAUUGCAUACAUUGAUAUAUAUUAAAAUACAGUCAAACAGCUGACCAGAUCGACACCUGAAAACAAUCUGGUCAUGUGAGCUGUCCUGGAUUACCAAAUUCAGCCUGCUCUGUGGCAGUCUUGGUAAUAUUUCACAAUUAUACUGAGAACAGCUGAAAACUCUUCAGUUAGGUUCUGAUAGCCAACAUUAGCUCUUUGAUAUAAACUACUGGAUUAAAAUUGUUUACACUACUUAGUGAGUACUUAGAACCGUGAAUUUUGGUGGAGUUGUUCCACAAAGAAUUUUUACGUAACCAGUGCUAUGAUUGAUUGCACCCUUCACUAAAGUCACAUGCAGUCAUCACGGUGUGCACAAGAAACAAGAGGAGAAAACAUCCCUCCAACACACAUCACACCUCCAAAGAGAGACAGACACCUGAAGGCUGUCAGCCACUGCACGGAGAUGAGGCAUCAUAGUUUCCUCUGGAAAUUGGGGCACACCAGCUGUAACUACUCACAGCCAUUCUGCAUCAGAGUAUGAAAAGAGAGUGGAUGCAUCAGUGCAGUGCUGGGGUUUUACAGCUAUGUGCAACAAAAUGUAUAAAACUUAUGAGUUUCAGAGCAGGUUUGUUUGUCUUCUCCUACCACGUAAGUCAUAUUGAGGGCUUUUUUCUACACAAGCAUACAAUCUUAGAGUACUAUUGCAAUUCUCUUAUUCCAUCAUACAGGUGAUGCACAGCACAGGACGGUCCAUAUAGCUGUGAAAAUCCUAACUCUGGUAUUUACUGACUUUCAUGCUUUUUUCAGACAACCCUGCAAUUAUAUUCAUGUCAUUUCUGCCAGUUAAAACUGUUGCUAACCUUCAUAAUUGUUAAGGGACUGCACAGUGCAAUUUAGCAUAGUUAGGGCAAUUAGAAAGUUAAGCACCAUGAGCCAACAGUCAGUAGCAGCAUUUUUUGCCAAGUAUAAGGAAACCUAAAGGCUCCAUCUAAUACAAGAUAGUUCUCAGGAUUUUGUUUGCAGGCCCAUGGGCCAGCCUCCUGCUUUGUCAGGCUGUAGCAGAUCUUCUGCCUUUUUGCCUGGUGAAUGUUGUUGAAGCAAGAGCAGGACCUGAGCCUGUUUCAAUUGCCCCAUUGGUAACCGCUUGGGAACUUGACCUCCAGGGUUGUAACUGGAGGUAGGCUUGAGAUCUCCCCAUUGGAAGAUACUUAACACAUUUCCCUUGCUUUUUACAUCCAUCUGAAAUGUAUUUAGCUAACUUCUGAGCUACCUUGCAUGUAAAACCUUGAACCACAAUUGUAAACUCUCCACUUUCCCUUAUUAGUACAAUAUUUGAUUUGGAUGACAUGUUUUUUAUAAUAUUUAUUUUCUGGCCCAUUUUGAGACUCUCGUGUUAAUGCCACAAGAACUUCACCCCUUGUAUAGUAUUUCAGACAUGGAGGGAAAAAAAAUGAAGUGAAAAAGUAAAAAUAAAAAGCAAAACCAACCGUCUGCAUUCACUUAAACUACAUUACAAUAAAGCUCAGUAAGAUCUGAUCAGUAGUUUUUUUAGCCUUCUCUGAUUCAAUAUGAAAGAAAUUAGUGGAAAACCUAAAGGCUGAAAGGAAAUUUUUGCCACUGUUCAAAACAGGAUGUGAAACUUUUAACAUAAUAUUUACAUAUAUUACGCUAAAUACUUUCUGCAGAGUUAAAAUUUAGCACUGCUAGCUUCAGACAGACUGGGAAAGACAUUUGCUUAUAUCUGAUAAACCAGAUUUUGAGAAGAAAAUGUUUUAUUCUUUUUGUUCUUCCUAUGUCUACGCUAGUGCUGGCAGAACAAUUGUGAUUUAGAAGUAUGUAAACAUGUUCAUUAAAGACUUCUAAACACUUACAAGGCAAGAAACAAUUUGUCUUAUACUGUUUUCUUCUUGCCUUCACAGCUGUUAUGAUUUUUACCUUUUGUGGCACAAAAAGCUGUUGAGUUUCUGAAAGCAUAGAAGUGUGACCCAAGUGUAGCUCUCUUCGUGAUCAUUGCUUGCAGAUUUGUUCACAAAGUUCUUGUAAAAAUGAAUUAUUUCUGGGGGGGGACACAACGUUUUUUGUCAAGAAAUACCAAAUUAGCAGAAGUGACAUUUUUGCCAGAAAGCAUUGACCAUUUCCCCCAGGAAAGAUUCAUGGUGCAGGAUAGAGUUUCUUUUCAGAAUGAGAUGAACUUUUGAUGGAGGGGAGCAGUCCUGUAGUCCCCAUCCCAACUCAUUCAGAAGACAAAAGACCAAUCUUUUGCUCAGUUCAGCCCAGAAUAGAACUGGUACUAAAAUCUCAGAGCUCCACCAGAUGGCUUUUAAACUAGGUGGGCAUGAAAAGCAUUAUGAUUUCAACUCCACGAAGCAUGAGGAUGUUUUGAAAAAUCAAGAGGGCUUUUGUACAAUUGGAAAAAGUCUUCUUACUGAGCUGCAAUUGCAAUCAAGGAAUUCAUUAAAAUGUGCCAUAGCUCCCAGGCAGAGGUGAGAAAAAAGUCUUAACACCUUCUGUCACCUGAGAUAUACCAUCUAGCCAGCUGACUCUGACCAACAGCACAACAAAGAUCUCAGAUCCUCCCUGAUAGAAAAGCAAAAUAAAGACCCCAGUAUUUCCACUGCAUAUUUGUAGAUUUUAAGAUCAUAUGGAAACUUUGCAGUCACCUACUCCUCUGACAUCUGCAGAGCCCAGACCAGAGGAGGCUGCCCAACAAUUCCUAAAUCAAUUCCAGUAAGUUGUGGUUGAUGCAUGGCAUCUUUCUUGGAAAGACAUUCAUUUUGAUUUAAAGACUAUAAGCAGCAGAGAAUCCACCACAUUCCUUGGCAAGCUGUUAGUUGUAAAAAAGGAGCAAAUUCUCACCACCAGAAAUGGGAGUUUUGGUUGGACUCACAUUUGACUUGCAUCUUAAACAUUCACAAAAGAUCAAAUCAUUAUAUACUCACAAAAUAAGUAAGUUAUAAUUUACACCUGCCAUAAAUCAUAGACAUCUAAUGAUAAGUCACAGGAAAAAUUAAGCACUCCCAAUUUUAAAAGAAUUUUUAAAGUUAGUCUAUAGUGCACAAAUAUCCCCACAAUGAGCAUUAGAUGAUUCAUCCAAGAUGCAUUUAUUUAUUUGUUUUGGAGCCUAACAUCUCAAAGGUCAGAGGUAGCAUCUAUUUCAAAUGCAAGAACAAAUCAAGCCAUAAAAAGUCUUCCCCUUUGUCCUCACUCCCUGCAUAGGUCUUCUCCUAAUUCCAGAGUCCUAGGAAAGACACGAGUUACAGUGACUCCAUCCAUCAGUAAUUGCUUGUAUGGCUGAACUUCCAACUGAGAAUAAGAUGUUUUAUCUUGCUAUGGCCCCGGUUUUGGCCAACUGCUUUGCUGUACUUCAAAAGCAGAGUUAGUCCUAUGGAAGGCAGACAGUUAAAAUGUAAACAAAGUUUCUGUUUAUUCUGAAGUCAGAACAGUCAUUCCAAGAGAACAAUGAAUGUGAGACCACAUAUAUUAUUUACUAAUCUUUAAGAACACUGUUAUUCCCAAACCAGGCAAGCUACUUCUCACUUCUGGUCAAUUCCUUUUGCAAAUGCAUCUCAUCAGCUUCAGCUAAUAGAUCACUGAAGUUUGACAAUAAUCACUGACUUUCUUUCUAAAGAUAAUCCAUGUUUAAAAGCUCGGUUAUAUAAUAUGCAAUAAGCCAAGAAUAUCUUGCAACACUUGGAAAGGUAAAGUAGUAAUGUUCUGCCAGAUUCCUCUCAGCAUUUAAACACCAUUUUUUACAUGCCAAAAGUUCCUUCAAUUACUAAUGACUUGUGAGUUUUAAGAUGCAUAAUUUAUAUCUGAGAUGAAUUAGGCAAGACAGAUUAAAAAAAACUUGUCUGUAUUUUGAGUCCACUAGAAACAUCACUGAAAGAAAACGAAAUAAAAUGAUUGAAACUUGAACAUGUGUUCUGGCCCCAAAGAAAAGGUCAGUGUCAAACCAGAGCCAGUUUUCUUCUGAAGAAAAUUCUGGAGGAAAAAGAAAGAUGUUUCAGAGCUAUCUCUCGGUUGAGAGCGUGCUUGUGGUCUUGAAGAAGCAAAAGAUGACAGUAAAAGCAAAGAAAGGGUUUAUGGUUUGAUGGAACAUAACGUCCCAGACAAAGGGAAACGAUAUAAAGCCAAAAUUAUGAAAGAAAAAAGAAAUGGAAGAUCUCAUAUGUCCACAGGAGAGAGUUAGAAGUUUAGAACCUCAAGCAGGAUAUUAAAUGUGGAACCAGAAGUAUCGCUGAGCUGGAGUCAACACACCAUCUUCCAUCAUUCACUGGCUGAAAAAAAAUAGUCUAUUUAGACCAAAAGGGUAGAGAACAAGAGUCCAAAGAACAGAUUCAUCAAGAAAGGGGUCUGCCAGGUCAAAGCAGAAAAAAUAUCUGCCAGAGUGACAAAGGACCUAUUUGGGGCCAGCAGGCAGGGAUAGAUGGGAGUUGCCAUUACAGCCACAGCCCAGGUCAGGCUGACCCCAGAGAUACAGCAUGGAGGGAAGUGUGCAUGCUGGUGCCAACAGACAGACAGGUCAGGAUCAAGGACUUGGCUGGGUGACAAGAGCAAGCACUGACCUGUGUGGAAGUUAAAUUACAUCUCUUUCUGCAAAAUCUCUGGUUUCAGAGGAUCGGCAUUAUGCCGUGAGAUCCUCAGAUCUGCCCAGGGGUGGUAACUUAAGUAUAAUCUCAGUUGCUAUUAGGAAAACAGCCAUAAAUGUGUUUCUUUUUAUUCUUGUCUUCACCUCACAAACACACACAUUUUUACUAAGGGAUAACUUCAAAUUUUUAAACUCUUCCAAUCAUGCAUUGAAUGACACUGCUGUUAGCUCAUUGUCUAGCUACACCGCUUUUACAUCUUCCUCCCAUACCUAGUUACCUUGCAUAUUCAGAACAGAGUGAAACUUCUAACUAUGGAGGAAGAAAGAUAUAGAAAGGUCAGUCCAGCAGGUCUGACUCUUUGGUACGGUUCUUCCAGAUUAAACAACAUCGUCAAACUUAUUUCCCACAAACCAAAUGGAGGAGUAAUUCUGGGCUCAGGAAGUGGAGGUCAUCUCCAAUGACUAAAGUGUGUCUUUUGCAGUUCAAAGAAAACAUGAAGAAAAAAAGUGUUAAUCAGCUGGAAACCUUCAAAAUGUGUUUGUCACCAUUCAGAUUAAUAAAUUUAGCUUUGCUUUUCUAGUUUGAUUACAGUGAAGAUUUUAAAUAUGUUUCAUAAAUAAAAAUAUCCAUAGAUUAUUAUUAGCUAAUAUUUUAUUACCACUA
ensembl:lncRNA